rnacentral:rRNA from 1 species
AGCUUGCUAAUAAUUCUCUAGUGGCGCACGGGUGAGUAACACGUGAGUACCUGCCCCCAAGAGUGGGAUAGCCCCGGGAAACUGGGAUUAAUACCGCAUAAAGCAAUAAAGCAGCAAUGCGCUUGGGGAUGGGCUCGCGUCCUAUUAGUUAGUUGGUGAGGUAACGGCUCACCAAGGCGAUGACGGGUAGCCGGUCUGAGAGGAUGUCCGGCCACACUGGAACUGAGACACGGUCCAGACACCUACGGGUGGCAGCAGUCGAGAAUCAUUCACAAUGGGGGAAACCCUGAUGGUGCGACGCCGCGUGGGGGAUAAGGUCUUCGGAUUGUAAACCCCUAUCAUGUGGGACAUUAAAAAGAUAGUACCACAAGAGGAAGAGACGGCUAACUCUGUGCCAGCAGCCGCGGUAAUACAGAGGUCUCAAGCGUUGUUCGGAAUCACUGGGCGUAAAGCGUGCGUAGGCGGUUUCGUAAGUCGUGUGUGAAAGGCGGGGGCUCAACCCCCGGACUGCACAUGAUACUGCGAGACUAGAGUAAUGGAGGGGGAACCGGAAUUCUCGGUGUAGCAGUGAAAUGCGUAGAUAUCGAGAGGAACACUCGUGGCGAAGGCGGGUUCCUGGACAUUAACUGACGCUGAGGCA